rnacentral:lncRNA from 1 species
UUGGGCAUACUCAACAACCAGGAAGGCUGGAAGAAGGAAAGCCAGCAGGUAAGUAAAGGUGGCUCUGAGAAACCCACAGUCCCACUAGCAUGCCCAAGGCCUGCUGGGAUUCCUGCUGCAUUUGCAAUCGAUAAACAGCCAAGUAGUUUUACUCUGAGAACUCUCCUAAGAAUGUAUCAUUAGGUGGGGGGUAAGAGUGCAUACCUUUUAAUCUCAGCACUCAGGAGACUGAUGCAUGUGGAUCUCUGGGGGUAUAAUGCUAGCCUGGUCUACAUAGCAAGUUCCAGCCCAGCCAGGGCUGUAUAGUAAGAUCCUUCCUCAACAAGCAAACAAAGAAUAUGUUCUCAGAUAACCCUUCCUCCGUAAGACCUCAUUGAGAAACGUUAUUCCUAUAUUUCAACUACCCUCUGAAAGCUGUACACUCACCCAGUAGAAACCACACGUAUUAGGGGACAUACUACCCACCAUUACAACCAGCACAAUGCUAGAGUACAUUCUGUACUGUGCAGCCUACCCUGUAGACAAGCUCAGUGGAUAAUAUCUCAUCCUCACACAGAAGCAAAACCUGUUAAAACAGUAGCUCGAUUAGAUCUACUUUGGCGGCCUUAUCUUCAACAAA